UCGUUUUCGUGGACUUGAAUUUCAAGUCUCCUCUCCGAUGGCCUCUCUACCAUCCAUGUCUUCUCCACUACGUCUCCCGCGCUAACCAACCUACAAAGAUCAGAGAUCGCGAGCGCGAGAGCUCGAGGUCGCAGAGGAGGAGAGAGAGAGAAGGAGAUCAAGAAGCACGGCAAUGGCGAGGAGGCUCGCCGCCGCGCUGUGUCUCGCGGUGGCCGCGGUGAGCGUGGCCGUGGCGACGGCGAGGUUCGUGGUGGAGAAGAACAGCGUGAAGGUGCUGUCGCCGCGGUCGCUGCGGGGGCGGCACGAGGCGGCGAUCGCCAACUACGGCGUGCCGGACUACGGCGGCACGCUCACCGGCGUGGUGGUGUACCCGGCGGACGCGAGGCUGGCCGACGGGUGCAGGCCGUUCGGCGAGGCGGCGGCGAAGGCGCUCAGGUCGCGGUCGCGCCGCCCCGUCGUGCUCCUCGUCGACCGCGGCGGCUGCUACUUCGCGCUCAAGACGUGGCACGCGCAGCUCGCCGGCGCGGCGGCCGUGCUGGUGGCGGACGGCGUCGACGAGCCGCUGCUCACGAUGGACAGCCCCGAGGAGGAGACCCCCGACAUGGCGUUCCUCGCCAACAUCACCGUCCCGUCGGCGCUCGUCACCAAGCAGUUCGGCGACGCCCUCCGCGCCGCCGCCUCCGCCGCCGACGACGAGGUGGUGGUGCGGCUGGACUGGCGCGAGUCGAUGCCGCACCCCGACGAGCGCGUCGAGUACGAGCUCUGGACGAACAGCAACGACGAGUGCGGGCCGCGGUGCGACGAGCAGGCGGCGUUCGUCGGCGCGUUCCGCGGCCACGCGCAGCUGCUGGAGAAGCGCGGCUACGCGCUGUUCACGCCGCACUACAUCACCUGGUUCUGCCCCGACGCGUUCCUGGAGACGACGCAGUGCAAGGCGCAGUGCGUCAACCGCGGCCGCUACUGCGCCCCCGACCCCGACGGCGACCUCGCCGCCGGCUACUCCGGCCGCGACGUCGUGCUCGAGAACCUCAGGCAGCUCUGCGUCCACCGCGUCGCCAACGCGCGCAACGCCUCCUGGCUCUGGUGGGACUACGUCGCCGACUACCACCUCCGCUGCUCCAUGAAGGGCGACCACUACACCCGCCGCUGCGCCGACGACGUCGCCAAGUCGCUCGGUUUGCCGAUGGAUUUGAUCGACGAGUGCAUGGGGGAUCCCGACGCCGACGUCGAGAACGACGUGCUCAAGACGGAGCAGAUUGUUCAGGUUGGACAUGGCACCAGAGGGGAUGUGACGAUCUUGCCGACGCUGGUGAUCAACAAUGUGCAGUACCGGGGCAAAUUGGAGAGCACUUCGGUUCUCAAGGCGAUUUGUGCUGGAUUCAAGGAGUCCACUGAGCCUGAUGUCUGCCUGACACCAGAAAUGGAGACUGACGAGUGCCUGAACAACAAUGGCGGCUGCUGGCGAGACGAGAAGACCAACAUCACUGCCUGCAAGGACACUUUCAGGGGAAGAAUUUGCCAGUGCCCUGUAGUUGAUGGUGUUCAGUACCAAGGAGACGGCUACACCCACUGCAAAGCGGUCGGACCAGGGCGGUGCGCGAUGAACAACGGUGGCUGCUGGAAGGGGACGAGAGACGGCAAGACGUUCUCUGCUUGCUCGGAUUCAGACUUGAGUGGGUGCAAGUGCCCACCUGGGUUCAAGGGCGACGGGCUCCAUUGCGAAGACGUCGACGAGUGCAGCGAGAAGCUGGCGUGCUCCUGCCCUCACUGCUCCUGCAAGAACACAUGGGGUUCGUUCGACUGCAGCUGCCAUGGCAACAACCUGAUGUACAUCAAAGCUGAAGAUACCUGCAUUGCGAAGAACAUGUCGGCGUUUGGGUGGCUGGUGACGACGCUGGUGCUGUCCUGCCUCGCCGGCGCCGGCGUCGCCGGAUACGUGUUCUACAAGUACAGGCUCAGGAGGUACAUGGAUUCAGAGGUGAUGGCGAUCAUGUCGCAGUACAUGCCUCUCGAGGGCCAGAACGGCGAGAGGCUGCCGCUGAGAGAGGAGGCCCAGGUUGAGCAUGCUUAGCUAGGCAGGUACUAACAACUUCCUGUCUGAACUCUGAACAGAAAUUGUGGCCAAUUGCAGAGGUUGAACAUUUUGGCAAUGUCCAUUCGUUUUGAGACGCCAAGACACAUGACAGCGACGAAUGCCGCGAUGUACAUGGCGAAGUUCAGACAUCAUACUUGAUGACAGGGGUUCUUGCAGUUUCUGCUUGGUGCUUUUGUAGAGAACUGAACCAGAUAGGUUCAGAGUUUCUGGUAGAAGAACGGGAUAAGUCUAUGUCAAGCCGGUGCACCGCAAAGUGCAGACUAGACAAGUAUAGCUGCUGUAAUGCAGAUUUGUUAGAAUAUAUUGUGAAUAAUAGAUCAACAAUCUUCCUAAUAACUUUGAAUCUUGAACGCCUGAUUUGUGGCAUCACUUCAUUAACAA